UGACCUCAAUCAGGUAGGACUACCCGCUGAACUUA
rnacentral:rRNA from 1 species